GUCGAGAUUACCGCGACGGUAAACACUCUCAUCUCAUGGGUUCACCUUUGGAGAAGGAACUUGGAGUAAUGGUAAAGUGCUAGCUCGCAAUGGGGCUCAACAGCGUGUAUUUUACCUGUCUUCGGCUUUAUAGCUCCGCUGUGUUGGCCUUGUUGUCUUGGGCCUCACAUGAAGAAGCUAACUAAUUGAGAACCUAAUAUAGAGGCCCAAUAGUGCAAAGUUAAAUAGUGAGAGCAUGAAAUCUGCGCCUUUUUGCUUGGUGACUGAGAUGUGAUCAAGGUGGCUGUAAAACUCUCCAGAUUCCAGCUCUGGAGAAGGCUCAUAGCUCUUAUGGAAAUGUCAAGUCAAAACCUCAUUCAAUUGGAUCCAUUGUCUCAGGACUUGGUUCCGGGUCCAAUUGUUCACGUGCUGAAUCUAAACAGGGCUACAGGUUUGUUACAUUCUAAGGCUCAGUAUUAACAUUGUGAACAUGUGUGUUAUCUAGUCGCUAAUUUCCAAGCCAAAUCAUAUAUUUGUCUAAAUUAUAAGAUACUUUGGUUCCAUCAAUUGUCUGGUAGUAAAAGUUAGUGGGUGAUAGUUUCUUUUUUUUUUUUAAAGUCACAGGCUGAGGGCUAGAAAGUGACUAGAGAA